rnacentral:rRNA from 1 species
GUGGGGAAUCUUGCGCAAUGGGCGAAAGCCUGACGCAGCCAUGCCGCGUGAAUGAUGAAGGUCUUAGGAUUGUAAAAUUCUUUCACCGGGGACGAUAAUGACGGUACCCGGAGAAGAAGCCCCGGCUAACUCCGUGCCAGCAGCCGCGGUAAUACGGAGGGGGCUAGCGUUGCUCGGAAUUACUGGGCGUAAAGGGCGCGUAGGCGGAUAUUUAAGUCGGGGGUGAAAGCCCGGGGCUCAACCUCGGAAUAGCCUUCGAUACUGGAUAUCUUGAGUACGGGAGAGGUGUGUGGAACUCCGAGUGUAGAGGUGAAAUUCGUAGAUAUUCGGAAGAACACCAGUGGCGAAGGCGACACACUGGCCCGUUACUGACGCUGAGGCGCGAAAGCGUGGGGAGCAAACAGGAUUAGAAACCCCGGUAGUCC